UACGAAGGGGGCUAGCGUUGCUCGGAAUUACUGGGCGUAAAGCGCACGUAGGCGGCUCUUAAGUCGGUGGUGAAAUCCUGGAGCUCAACUCCAGAACUGCCUUCGAUACUGGGAAGCUCGAGUCCGGGAGAGGUGAGUGGAACUGCGAGUGUAGAGGUGAAAUUCGUAGAUAUUCGCAAGAACACCAGUGGCGAAGGCGGCAUCCUGGACCAACACUGACGCUGAGGAGCGAAAGCCAGGGGAGCAA
rnacentral:rRNA from 1 species